CGGCACAGGACCCCAGCUUCCAUCCUCACGUUGUGUGGACAUGGUCCAGCUUCCUGCCGCGGACCAUGAGCAAUCCAAGGGUAGGGGAGCCUCAAGAGGGAGACACUGAGCCUUUACGUAAUGAGGCAGGGAGGGGUUCAAGCAAUUAAUUGAGAAAGGAUGUGACAGGACUGGCACCUGGUCACUUUGUGGCCGUGAGCACCAGCUCCGCCUAUCCCCUCUGCAGGGCAGAAGGGACAGUGCUGCGGGAGGCGGAGGUGCUGUGGCUCUGGGAAGGCUGAAAAGGGACGGCUGCAAAGGAGAAGAGCUUCGAGUCCUUUCCAUCAGGAGAAAAACCCGGUCAGCUGUGGAGGAGCACUGCACAGGAGUCAGAAAGUGGAGUCUGGGCGUGACCUUGCACCUGACCAGCCUGGGGCUCUAGGUCCGCCACAUCUGGACUAAUCUCCUGUGUCCUGAGCUCCCAGGACCCCAGAGGCAAGCAUGGAGGGGCCACGCUGGCAGGUAAAGUUGGUUGAAGUCACAGAGAAAGGCAGGAAAACUUCCUGGCUUAGGUUUCCAAAGGCCUCUGGGGGAUGAAGAGGACCCACAGUGGCUUAGGACGAGCUCCUGCACAGCGGCCUGUUUCCCAAUUGCAUCGUGUAUCUCUUUGCCUCUCUUGGCUCAGCCAUGGCCCCAGCCCCAGGCCAUCCAAGGGGCAGCCUGGUGAGGUUUCUUCAACUUUGCUAAUGACUUGACCUACAGUCUUAAGUCAAGAAGGUGUCGCUCUCCUUUGUGAUGGCUGGACGCACAGGAGCUGUGGUCAGGAUGGGGCUAGAGGAGCUGAAAUCCCAGGGCAACAAGGGUAUUUAAAAACACAUCGCAGGAGAAACAGCUAAAGAGUCUUGGAACCAGGAAUCAUAAGCUGUUUGAUGGGAUGAACUAUCUUGGGAGUGAUGAGGUCCCCAUCACUGAAAGUAUUCAAGCAGAGAGAGUCAUGGAAUUAGGAGACGGAAGAGCAUCAGACACUGAAUGAAGUCUGCACUACAUGAGAUGAAGAACCCUUCCAGCCCUGAGGCCGAGCAGCCACUUCUCUGGAGCAGGCUGGCCCAUCUAUGUCCAGGAGGCCAGCCCCAGGCUAGCUUCUGAGCACGGGGAGCUAAGUCCUUCGCCUUCCAGAGACUGCACAAAGUGUGUGCCACCUCCACAGAACCCUCCUCAUCCACCCGAGAACUCUUCCUCACCUGACCUAAAGCUCUUCAUUUCAUACCACCUUUCAAGCGAAUUAAGGAUUAAUUGCCAGCAGCAAUCUCUGUCUUUGUUUGUUUUCUCUAAUGGAAAACCUUUCUCUCGGGAGGGUAAGGUUAUCAGUCAUUCACAGCUCAGUUGUGCUGUGUUUGAUUAGACUGGACGGCAAAGCUGAGUCCUGUUUCGGCUCUGUGCGAUCCUGGGCCCCUUGGAGCCUGUUUUCUCAUCUAUGAAAUGGGAGUAAUAAUAGUGCUUAUUGCACAGUUGUUUUAAGAACUAAAAAUUUAAAUUGCCUAGAAUGUUAUACAAACAUAAGCUGCCAUAUUUUGGAAAAAUGAGCCAAGAUCAGUGGUGCCAAGGGAAGAAUGGGCAGAGGUGAGCUGUGGGCAGCCGUGGAGGAUGGUCCACGGUGUGGCUGCCAGAGGGCAUCGGGGGCCAGGCAACUCCAGAAAGGAGCUAGGAAUGUUAGAGAAAACUGCACUAACAGCCAGCAUGCGUGAAGAACUGAUUCAUACUACACCGUGGAUGAACCUCAAGAACAUUAUUCUCGGCAAAAGCAGACAGACACAAAAGGUCACAUAGCAAAUGCUUCCGUUGAUAUGAAAUGUCCAGCACUGGCAAAUCCACAGAGACAGAAAGUAGAUUAGUAAUAGCCAGCGGCUGCAGACAGGGAAGGAGGGGAGUGAUGACUUAAUGGGUACAGGGAUUUUAUUUUGGGGUAAUGAAGAUAUUUUGGAAUGAGACAGAGCUGGUGGCUGCAUAGAGCACUAUGAAAGUGCUAAUUGCCAUUGAAUUAUUCACUUCAAAACAGUUAAUUUAACGCUAUGUGAAUUUCACCUCAAUAAAAAAGGUACAAAAUAAAAAG
rnacentral:lncRNA from 1 species